AGGGUAUGAUCUUGGCUCAGAACGAACGCUGGCGGCGUGGAUUAGGCAUGCAAGUCGAACGAGGGAGUGUCUCGAAAGGGGCGCAAACCGAGUGGCGUAAGGGUGAGUAAUGCAUUGAUAACCUGCCUUUGAGAUGGGAAUAACAACGUUCCAAGCAAUUGGGGCUACCGAAAGGGUUGCUAAUACCCAAUAAAACUAUUGCUGCUAUUGGUGGUAAUAGUCAAAUAAAUGGGGUCGAAAGAUUUCAUUUGCUCGAAGAGGGGUCAAUGUCCUAUCAGCUAGUUGGUAGAGUAAUAGCCUACCAAGGCAAAGACGGGUAGCCGGCCUGAGAGGGUGGUCGGCCACACUGGGACUGAGACACUGCCCAGACUCCUACGGGAGGCUGCAGUCGAGAAUCUUUCGCAAUGCCCGAAAGGGUGACGAAGCGACGCCGCGUGCGGGAAGAAGGCCUUCGGGUUGUAAACCGCUGUCGGGAGUUAAGAAAUGCAAGGAUGUUAAUAGCAUCUUUGUUUGACUAAGGCUCCGGAGGAAGCCACGGCUAACUCUGUGCCAGCAGCCGCGGUAAUACAGAGGCGGCAAGCGUUGUUCGGAAUUAUUGGGCGUAAAGAGCACGUAGGCGGCUGUGUAAGUCGGUUGUGAAAGCCUUCCGCUUAACGGAAGAACGGCAUCCGAUACUGCAUAGCUCGAGUGCGGGAGGGGAGAGUGGAACUUCUGGUGGAGCGGUGAAAUGCGUAGAUAUCAGAAGGAACACCGGCGGCGAAGGCGACUCUCUGGCCCGUAACUGACGCUGAGUGUGCGAAAGCUAGGGGAGCAAACGGGAUUAGAUACCCCGGUAGUCCUAGCCGUAAACGAUGGGCACUAGGUAGAGGGGUUUUGAUUAUCUCUCUGCCGGAGCUAACGCAUUAAGUGCCCCGCCUGGGGAGUACGGCCGCAAGGCUAAAACUCAAAAGAAUUGACGGGGGCUCGCACAAGCGGUGGAGCAUGUGGCUUAAUUCGAUGCAACGCGAAGAACCUUACCGGGGUUUGACAUGGUGGAAGUAGGAGCCCGAAAGGGCAACGAACGGUAUCCAGUCCGUAACUAUCACAGGUGUUGCAUGGCUGUCGUCAGCUCGUGUCGUGAGACGUUGGGUUAAGUCCCCUAACGAGCGAAACCCUUGUCUUUAGUUGCCAACAGGUCAUGCUGGGUACUCUAAAGAGACUGCCGUCGUCAAGACGGAGGAAGGUGGGGAUGACGUCAAGUCAUCAUGGCCCUUAUAUCCCGGGCUGCACACGUGCUACAAUGGUCGGUACAAAGGGAUGCUAAACCGCAAGGCGGAGCGAAACCCAGAAAGCCGAUCUCAGUUCAGAUUGGAGGCUGAAACCCGCCUCCAUGAAGUAGGAAUCGCUAGUAAUCGCGGAUCAGCUACGCCGCGGUGAAUAUGUUCCCGAGCCUUGUACACACCGCCCGUCAAGCCACCCAAGCAAGAUGCACCCAAAAUCAUUGGCCUAACCAGCAAUGGAGGGAAGUGCUUAAGGUGUGUUUUGUGAGGAGGACUAAGUCGUAACAAGGUAGUCGUAGGAGAACCUGCGGCUG
rnacentral:rRNA from 1 species